CGCCUUGCCAGCCCGCUCAGAAACUCAAAGGAAGUUGACGGGGGCCCGCACAAGCGGUGGAGUAUGUGGUUUAAUUCGAUGCAACGCGAAGAACCUUACCUGGUCUUGACAUCCCGGAGACCCUUAGGAAACUAGGGGGUGCUUCCAUCUGGAAGAAUCUGGAGACAGGUGCUGCAUGGCUGUCGUCAGCUCGUGUCGUGAGAUGUUGGGUUAAGUCCCGCAACGAGCGCAACCCUUGCCUUUAGUUGCCAGCAGUUCGGCUGGGCACUCUAAAGGGACUGCCGGUGUUAAACCGGAGGAAGGUGGGGAUGACGUCAAGUCCUCAUGGCCUUUAUGACCAGGGCUACACACGUACUACAAUGGCCGAUACAAAGGGCAGCGACACUGCGAGGUGAAGCCAAUCCCGUAAAAUCGGUCUCAGUCCGGAUUGGAGUCUGCAACUCGACUCCAUGAAGUUGGAAUCGCUAGUAAUCGUGGAUCAGCAUGCCACGGUGAAUACGUUCCCGGGCCUU
rnacentral:rRNA from 1 species